CUAUACAAGGUGCAAGGCAGAAGAGACUGAGGUCAGAGAUCUAAUUAAUCAUUGAAAUACCUACUCAAUUCAGAAUUUCUCAACUAGCCACACACUGUGUAGAAAAACCCUAGAAAACCAUAAACCCAUCAUUGGAGAAAAAGAAUGAUCUAGGGAGAACAAUCCUUGACAUUAUUGAGCAAGAAGUCCAGACUGAUAACUGUUUCCUGGAACAUGAGCUGACAGGAUUCCAAAUAUUAUUUUAGUGCCCCUGAAAUUAAGCUGACUUCAGACCAGAUCCAGAGAGCACAGCAAUGCCAUAGAAUUAGCUGCUCACUUCUCAGGGAAGAUGAUGCUGGAUAGCUAGUACCCAGAGAGAGAGAGCGAGAGAGAGAUACAGGACAAAGAGCUUCGUCGCCAAUUUCUAGAUGUCCAAAUUCACAUUUGAGAUGAACUGCAGAAGGUGAUACAGAAGGUCUUCUAUGCAAGAAAGUCAGUUUCCCAACAACUGGGCUUCACUGAGAAGCAAUGUGGUUUACAGGAUCAAGCACAGGCCAUGGGAUGAGGACUGAAACUUUGUAAUCUGGGCUUUACCACUGAUUCACUGUGUCGUUUAGCAAAUUACAUAGGACCUGAUUCACUAUGACUCAUCACCUUGUACAGUCAUUCACAGCAAUGUGUAAAGUGGACAUGUAACACUACCAAGCCAGAAUGGUAGCAUUUUACACCUAUUUUGCCCUGGUAUAAGUCACUACAUUAGGUGCAGGGGAAUAGUGAAUCAGACCUUACUAUCUUAACCAAGGAUGUAAUAAAUUCAAGAUAAGAAAAUAAUAAUACCUACGUCUUACGUAACACAUUCCACAGUAAAUCUCAAACAGCUUCAUGAAGAAGUACACAUUAUUAUCCCUCUUUUACAGAUGGGAAACUAAGGCACAGACAGGUGAAGUGACUUGCCCAAGGUCACCCAGCAGGCAGUGGCAGAGACAGGAAGAGAAUCCAGGUUCCCCAGUCCACUGAUCUAUCCACUGGGCCAUUUAGGAAUUUCUAGUUCUAAGUCCGAUGUUGAUCUUCAAGGUCACUCAGGCAAUAUUGACUCUGGCCUUUUUCUCUCUUUUUGUCUUAGUUUCCCUAGCUGCAUAAAGGAAUAGUACUACAAUUGGCCUACGUUGCAAAGUGUUAUGAGAAAUAGUGUUUGUAUAGUGCUUUGAAAAGUGUUGUGUGUCUUGACCAGAGCUGCAUGUCACUGUGAAGUGAUAUUACUGUUAAAAAACAAAGUCCUGAUGCACUGAAAUUACAAUGCCAGUUUUAAUUCAAUG